CCCCUCUCAGGGUCACACCUGGAGAGUUUCCAGUCCUCUACCAGUCUUGGCUACAGGAGGGAGAGUCAAGCAGACGCCUACCCAUUCCAUUCCUAGCUAGGCCACAGGCUGGCGAGUGGCAGGCAAUCGGCUACAAGU